GGGCCUGUGGUCUAGUGGUAUGACGUCCCGUUGACAUCGGGGAGAUCAGGAGUUCAAUUCUCCUCAGGCCCA
rnacentral:tRNA from 1 species